GUUGGAGCAGAGCCAACAGUUUGUGACGCAGUAUUUUUAACCAAAGGUCUACAUGUUGAAUCUGUGUCUAAGAGAUAUAUAUAAUGAAUAAUCACGUUAUAAAGUUUAAUAUAACCUGUGUACGCUCUCUGCCCGCAGUGUUAUUAACAACUGGAGCUCAGAGUCUCUCUAGCAGCCGCAUUCAGUGCAUCAGUAACCAGCAGAGCAGCUGCUCCUCUCCGCCCCCUCCCAACACUGAUGGAAGCAGGAAAAGCUGCCUUCAUUCAUUAAGAAGCGUCUCCACAGUAAAGAGGACCUGUGUUCAGCUGCUGACCAUCAACUCGAGGAUGACACUGAGCGGAUGGGAGCAGAUCGGACUUUGUUGUCUUUUCAAAGCUAGUUUCCACAUGGUCUGCUGCGGACACUUCUCACCACAUCUACACUUCAGAGAGCUGCAAGUUCAGAGAGUACCGGUGAUAAAGUGGACAAUGUGCUGCAUUCAAGUGCACCUCUUAAAUUCUCAAAUCUCUUCUUAAAUAGCUUAAAGAUUUUCAAAAAAUAUGUUGGCUUUGUUUCACUCACGUUUAUUAGUUACACAAAACACAAAUUGCAGACCACAUUUACUGUACUGAGAUUAAAAUUAAAAUUGUACUGUUUGUACCAUAUCUACACGUUAAAAAUAUUAUUUGGUAUAAACUGUUCCAUUUCCCCUUUGUAAGACAGAAAUACGAAGGAACUUUUGCAACAUCUGCAUUUUGACUCAAAUUUUGUCUGUGGUGUAUGGAUACAAGAUAAUUACUGUGAGCAGACUAUUUCUGUAUGGCACUAUUGUACAAUAACUUUACUAUUGUAAAAGUAAUUAUAUUUUUUAAGUAUUUUAAUACUCAUGAGGAGGGGUAAAUAAAAUGAUAUUUAUUGUUUUAA